GUACUGCUUAAGGGUCCCAAACUAGGACGAAACAGCUGUCCAGUAC
rnacentral:hammerhead_ribozyme from 1 species